rnacentral:rRNA from 1 species
UCCAUAGCUGGUCUGAGAGGAUGAUCAGCCACACUGGGACUGAGACACGGCCCAGACUCCUACGGGAGGCAGCAGUGGGGAAUAUUGGACAAUGGGCGGAAGCCUGAUCCAGCAAUACCGCGUGUGUGAAGAAGGCCUGAGGGUUGUAAAGCACUUUCAGUGGGGAGGAAAAAGCGUAGGCGAAUACCCUGCGUAUUGACAUUACCCAUAGAAGAAGCACCGGCUAACUCCGUGCCAGCAGCCGCGGUAAUACGGAGGGUGCGAGCGUUAAUCGGAAUUACUGGGCGUAAAGCGUGCGUAGGCGGCCUGUUAAGUCAGAUGUGAAAGCCCUGGGCUCAACCUGGGAACGGCAUUUGAAACUGGCAGGCUAGAGUUGGGUAGAGGGGAGUGGAAUUUCAGGUGUAGCGGUGAAAUGCGUAGAUAUCUGAAGGAACACCAGUGGCGAAGGCGGCUCCCUGGACCCAAACUGACGCUGAGGUACGAAAGCGUGGGUAGCAAACAGGAUUAGAUACCCUGGUAGUCCACGCCGUAAACGAUGUCGACUAGCCGUUGGGCCCUUAUGGGGCUUAGUGGCGCAGCUAACGCAUUAAGUCGAC